rnacentral:rRNA from 1 species
CGGCGGACGGGUGAGUAACACGUGGGUAACCUACCUAUAAGACUGGGAUAACUUCGGGAAACCGGAGCUAAUACCGGAUAAUAUUUCGAACCGCAUGGUUCGAUAGUGAAAGAUGGCUUUGCUAUCACUUAUAGAUGGACCUGCGCCGUAUUAGCUAGUUGGUAAGGUAACGGCUUACCAAGGCGACGAUACGUAGCCGACCUGAGAGGGUGAUCGGCCACACUGGAACUGAGACACGGUCCAGACUCCUACGGGAGGCAGCAGUA